rnacentral:rRNA from 1 species
UACGUAGGGACCAAGCGUUGUUCGGAUUUACUGGGCGUAAAGGGCGCGUAGGCGGCUCUGUAAGUCACUUGUGAAAUCUCUGGAGCUUAACUCAGAACGGCCAAGUGAUACUGCAGAGCUAGAGUGUAGAAGGGGCAAUCGGAAUUCUUGGUGUAGCGGUGAAAUGCGUAGAUAUCAAGAGGAACACCUGAGGUGAAGACGGGUUGCUGGUCUAACACUGACGCUGAGGCGACGGAAAGCCAGGGGAGCAAACGGG